ACUGUGCCUGGAGCCUGGAAAUAGUCACUUGGACCCAAAGUGCUCAGAGCUGGGCCGGGGGGAGCUAACGUCAGUCAGAUCGUCCGACACAGAGAGUGC